GUCGAACGCUUCUUUCCUCCCGAGUGCUUGCACUCAAUUGGAAAGAGGAGUGGCGGACGGGUGAGUAACACGUGGGUAACCUACCCAUCAGAGGGGGAUAACACUUGGAAACAGGUGCUAAUACCGCAUAACAGUUUAUGCCGCAUGGCAUAAGAGUGAAAGGCGCUUUCGGGUGUCGCUGAUGGAUGGACCCGCGGUGCAUUAGCUAGUUGGUGAGGUAACGGCUCACCAAGGCCACGAUGCAUAGCCGACCUGAGAGGGUGAUCGGCCACACUGGGACUGAGACACGGCCCAGACUCCUACGGGAGGCAGCAGUAGGGAAUCUUCGGCAAUGGACGAAAGUCUGACCGAGCAACGCCGCGUGAGUGAAGAAGGUUUUCGGAUCGUAAAACUCUGUUGUUAGAGAAGAACAAGGACGUUAGUAACUGAACGUCCCCUGACGGUAUCUAACCAGAAAGCCACGGCUAACUACG
rnacentral:rRNA from 1 species